CGCCGGCAUCAAAGAAUGAUCAAAUAAUUCCCUCCUCCCUCAUCCGUGCACGGUGGUCUGAUCUAUUUAGGACAACCGCUGCUGCAGAUUUAGUUUGGCUUCUGACCCUGCUCCACACCGGGCAGUAAUGCAGCUUGUGUGUUAGGAGCCGGCAUCCAGGCACGGGCUCCGGGUGACUGCCGCCGCUUCCAUGGGAAACACUAGCAUCACCGAGGGCAAGACUGCCCUGGCAGUGGGAAGCACCUCCAUAGCCAGGGGAAAGACGACUGUAGCCAUGGGCAACUCCUCCAUCUUCAGGGGAGUGACCACCACCUCCAUGGGAGACUCCACCAUCCAAAGGCAAAAGACGACGGUGGCUCUGGGACGGGCCAGCUUCAGCCGGGGAACCACAACCACGUCGUUUCGCAAAGCCUUGAUGUCCAAGCGCGGGACCACCUAGAUGGAGAGGAACCCUGAGGCCGGGGCCAGGACACCCAGGGAAGCCAAGCCGCCCAAAAAAGACGCUAACAAUGAGUGGAAAACCACAUUCCUGUCAAGCAAGACCUCCUUCACCAAAGGCAGCGUUUCGAUCCUGAGGACUAAGUACGCCAUCUCCUGGGGAAAAUUCUCGGUCUUCUGGAGCAGAACAACUGUAACUUUGGGCCGCAUCAACAUAGCAUUGGGAAAAACCACCGUUACACGAGGGGAGACCACAAGCUCUCUCACCACGCUGACCUUCACCCAUGGGACCAAGUCCGUGUCUGUGAUCAAAACCACCCUGAUCAGGGGCACGGAAACGCACAGCAACAUCUACUGGGAUUUUCACUCAUGAUUCCUGCACACUCUUAAAAACACCCACGGAUGUUUUUAAGAGAUCUGGUCAGUUUUAACAGGUCAGUAGUAGUAAGAGUCAAAAAAAGAAGAAAAAGAGGAGCUGCUAUUUUUGUGAUCUGUUACCUGUUGGCAAAGGUGAAUUCCCCAGUAAGAAAGUGCAAAGGGGAGUGAACUUCUAAUGAGUUUGCAAUCAAGAGUGAGAUUUUCCAAAGCCAUGUUGAGCGUGUUAUGCAAAUGUGACAGUGAGGAGAUGACGGUUUAUGGUGUGUCUUCUUGGCAGGGAGGGGAAAGUGUGAAACUGCUGUGUGGGAUGUAUGUGGAGGGACACAAGAGAGUGUGUGUUUUUUUCACCAACACUGUUCUCCUGUAUGUUGUGCAUGUACAGUCAUCACCAUGUGGACAUCUUUGGUACAAAUGUGGUAUUUUUGUGAAUGCCGAUAAAAUUGGUUGAUUGCCGCAUUUCCAUAACCACCAGAAAACACAGCUUUAAACUAGACAACUGUAAAGCUGGUUGAUGUAACAAUGCUUAUAAAAGUAACAUGCCUAAACACUGCUUGGCUUGAUUGUUUUGUAAAAGGAGGUUUUUUUUUAAGAUACUAUAUGUUGAGGAUUGAUCCUUGAAACAUAAACGGUAGAAAGCAAAGACUUCAGUGCUGUAAUGAGUUGGAAACAGUUCAGCGAGGACACGUUCUGCUAGUUAACACCAACUGAAGGAACCACACCCAUAUGUCCAAUGGAAGCACGAUACAAAUACAGGAGGGGUGCAAUCAAAGCCUAAACUAGGACGUGAACACAUCCAUCUUUUCUGUUAUCAAAUCGGACGCCGUGCCACUCGUCCCACAUAUGGUAUGGACGUUGUACACAGAGGCUACGCUUUACAAUCAGAGGCUAUAGGGAACAAUGGCUCAGAAGAAAGUGAUGUCACCACAGAUUGCCCCCUUUCCAACAAUGUGUCCUUCAACCGUCCGGUGUCGUCGUGGAGAUGGGACAAUCGCUCCACUGUCUCCGUCCCCCCAGAUAGGCUGUGGCCACCUACGGCUGCCUCUGUCCAUUCACAGGCACACAUGGGUGGUAUGUGGCCUUCCAGAGCCCACGUCGAUCAUCUCAACGAAGGCAUUAUGCCACACGGGGGUCGUGCUAUCCACGCUUAGCAUUCUGGUCUUCUCUGGAUUGUAGCAGAUGGUUCUAUUACUCACGAGGGGCAGAGAAGGACGCGCUGCAUGAGUGUGCGAUGCUUUGCGUCGAGUGAGCCCCGAAUACCGUCGUCGAAUCUGGGUAAGGAAGAAGAGCCUCUCCCAAAUGGGCAAUACCAGCUUCACCGAGGGGAAGACGGCCUUGACCUUGGGCAACACCACCAUAAAGAGGGGAAAGUCCAAACUGGCGUUGGGAGGCUCCUCCAUCACCAGGGGAAGGAGCACAACAUCGUUGGGCUCCUCCACCAUCACCAGUGGAAAGACCAAGAUUGCCCUGGGGGGCGCCUCCUUCAGCAGGGGCUCCACCACCACCUCUUUUCGGAAAGCCAUCUUCCCCAAACGCAAGACGCUCUAGAUGAGAGGGGACCUCAUCGAGGGGUCGGGGGAUCGGCACCAAAUGUCACACGAAAGAAGAAGAAAGAAGCUCCAUCAAAGAGAACAUUUGGACACCACUACAGCAUCUGCACAGCAUCUGCACAGAGCCCAGACUGGAUUAGAUUUGCCUGUGGACCAUUGUCAGGUUUUUCGUCAUGCCGGAUUUAUCAAAGAAACAGGUUCCCCCGUGACCACGGCAACAGCGAUCCACCAGUCGCGGAUGACGGCAUGAGAGCUUUAAGCCAGAACCAAUGCAACAAAACACUACACUUUUAAAACAGCACAAUGUUGGCUAAGAUUUAAACACACUGGAGUUGCAUGAAAAUCCCCCACCGGCCGGAGAAAGCAUCAGACCUGCCGCGUUAAAAUAGAAGCUGUCGCUAGUGGCAACAGGGCAGAGUCACAGUAGAUCCCGAUGACACUGCCGUCACUGUGAACAUGAUAAACAUCACAGUGUGUUCAAAGCCAUUACUAAGACAAAGCAACUUGGGGUUUUCAUUGCAGUUGGAAUCAGGAUUUUUCUCAGGCAUUUCCUCCCCGCAAAGGGGCAAAUUUAAUAAGCAUUCCUCUCUGUAGACAUUUCGAAGAUGCAACUUUUUCACCUGACUGCAACAGACUCUUUUAUUAUUUUUUCUUUGCCAUUAUUAUUAUUGUUUUUUAGUCUCUACUGGAAAGCCUUCAAGUCUCUGACAGAGGCCUUUUUGCAGAAACUGUUCCCUGUGGUGGUGCAAAUGUUUGAUCAGGUUUAUCAUAAUUAUACACAAAUGUCUAUUGCUGUACAUAUGUGUUUCUAAUUCAAAUGGGCUCCUGCAGUUAAGUUUGACCCCCCCGUAAACAAGGCACUGAAGCAUCGAGCAGACCUCUGUGCCAAGUACUGGUGACCCAGAUCAUGUGAAUACGCUUCUCUUUUUAAAGGUCUGUGAUGCCAGUUAUUCGUUGUUAUGCGGUAACAGAAGAGAGAACAAGUGAAUUUCUUGAUCCCAACCCUGAACAGAAACAACCCACAUUUUUCUAAAGUCCCCAAAAAAAAGACAUAACUUCAACCAACGACUGGUUGGCAGCAUUAAUCCCUGUGUGUGCUGAUUGUAUUUUAAAACAUGUACAAUGUGACAGUAAAGAAAAAUAGGCCACACGUAAUACAUAUGUGUAUUAGGGGAAAACAAAGGCCUUCUCUGGUACUAAUGUUGCACUAACGCUAGCUUAGUUACUGUAGCCGGGCAGCAGUUUGAGCUGUGGAAGUAGCUGCGCCUCAGCAACGCGAUAAGAGCCCGGAUCCUGCAUCCUGCACCAACACGACGACGCUCAGCCUGCUUCAACACACAGCCGGGGGCCCACCGCUGAUUCAGGAUCUGUCUGUCCGGGGACACCGUGCGAAACACACACACACACACACACACACAACAGCCUUCGACUACUUGAAUCAACUCCCGUCACAGCGGCGUCAAGAAGAAAAACAUUUUUGAAAAGAUGCAGAGAUGCGGAUCUGACAGCGACGCGCCGGAUAGAAGUUGCCCUCCGACUGAACUUAAUCAAUGUCGUGUUGUUAAUUAGAGAAUGGAUUAAAAAAAAAAAAAACGUUGUAGCUAGCAUUACUGAUGGAAAGCUGUUUGACUUUUAUUUCUGUCUCGUCCUGUGUGCUUGUCAUUAAAAUGCUCACAUGAUUAAAGUGGCCCUAAGCGGUCAGGCCAACCCGAAUACAACAGUGUUUUUGUCCCCUUCGCUAAUCUGUGUGUUGUGCGUCCAUCGUGAGAACUUGUAUUUCUUCGCAUGUUCCGUGUGAUGUUGUGUUGUUUUGCUUCGUUGUACGUGAAACUAAAAAUGCAGACGGCACCUGAAACCGAAAAGGUACUGGAAUAAAAAUGCUUGAUUGUGUGUCAAAGUCCA